GGCAGAUCCAAUUUUCUGCCACCGAAUACAUUAGCAUGGGAUAAUGGAAUAGGACCCUGUCCUCCUAUUUUCAGUUGGUUUUGGCAGCGCGAGGACUAGGGUAAUGAUUAAUAGGGAUAGUUGGGGGCAUUAAUAUUUAAUUGUCAGAGGUGAAAUUCUUGGAUUUAUGAAAGAUUAACUUCUGCGAAAGCAUCUGCCAAGGAUGUUUUCAUUAAUCAAGAACGAAAGUUAGGGGAUCGAAGACGAUCAGAUACCGUCGUAGUCUUAACCAUAAACGAUGCCGACCAGCGAUUAGGAGACGUUGAAUACAAAACACCACCAUCGGUGCGGUCAUCCUUGGCGUUGGUCUUCAAAAGCCACCGCGGGGGGGGGUUAUCCCGGCGGGACCGGUGAAUGACUCCCCUAGCAGCUUGUGAGAAAGA
rnacentral:rRNA from 1 species